rnacentral:rRNA from 1 species
GCGUAGCGAAAGCGAAUGCUUUGGGGUGGGGUGACUGCGUACCUUUUGUAUAAUGGGUCAGCGACUUAUAUUCUGUAGCAAGGUUAACCGUAUAGGGGAGCCGUAGGGAAACCGAGUCUUAACCGGGCGUUAAGUUGCAGGGUAUAGACCCGAAACCCGGUGAUCUAGCCAUGGGCAGGUUGAAGGUUGGGUAACACUAACUGGAGGACCGAACCGACUAAUGUUGAAAAAUUAGCGGAUGACCUGUGGCUGGGGGUGAAAGGCCAAUCAAACCGGGAGAUAGCUGGUUCUCCCCGAAAGCUAUUUAGGUAGCGCCUCGUGAAUUCAUCUCCGGGGGUAGAGCACUGUUUCGGCUAGGGGGCCAUCCCGGCUUACCAACCCGAUGCAAACUGCGAAUACCGGAGAAUGUUAUCACGGGAGACACACGGCGGGUGCUAACGUCCGUCGUGAAGAGGGAAACAACCCAGACCGCCAGCUAAGGUCCCAAAGUCAUGGUUAAGUGGGAAACGAUGUGGGAAGGCCCAGACAGCCAGGAUGUUGGCUUAGAAGCAGCCAUCAUUUAAAGAAAGCGUAAUAGCUCACUGGUCGAGUCGGCCUGCGCGGAAGAUGUAACGGGGCUAAACCAUGCACCGAAGCUGCGGCAGCGA